CCCCUCUAUUCCCUCCCCCCUCUAUUCCCUCACCCUGCCUAUUCAUUCAUUACCCUUUUCUAUUCCCCGUGCAGACAAAUCAAUCCUCCGUGUGCACCUUCACACAAAGCAGGCCCUAUUGACUUUCAUGACUGAAUCUUUCAUCUUUCCCCUGUUUGUUUGUUUGCCCGUCUGUGAGCAAGGUCUUUAUAUUGUGUAACAGAAAUACCUUGUGGAAUAGAGGUGAAACUUACAUGGACUUUUGAAUCAGGGGCAUUUCACACAAACACUCCAUUAUCUUAUUUUUUUAAAGGUGACGUUAGCAUUACUGAUUAUCUUAUUUAUUUAUUUAAAGGUGACGUUAGCAUUACUGAUUAUCUUAUUUAUUUUUUUAAAGGUGACGUUAGCAUUACUGAUUAUCUUUUUUUUUUUAAAGGUGACGUUAGCAUUACUGAUUAUCUUAUUUAUUUAUUUAAAGGUGACGUUAGCAUUACUGAUUAUCUUAUUUAUUUAUUUAAAGGUGACGUUAGCAUUACUGAUUAUCUUUUUUUUUAAAGGUGACGUUAGCAUUACUGAUUAUCUUAUUUUUUUUUAAAGGUGACGGUAGCAUUACUGAUUAUCUUAUUUAUUUAUUUAAAGGUGACGUUAGCAUUACUGAUUAUCUUAUUUAUUUAUUUAAAGGUGACGUUAGCAUUACUGAUUAUCUUAUUUUUUAAAAGGUGACGUUAGCAUUACUGAUUAUCUUAUUUAUUUAUUUAUUUAAAGGUGACGUUAGCAUUACUGAUUAUCUUAUUUUUUUUAAAGGUGACGUUAGCAUUACUGAUUAUCUUAUUUAUUAUUUUAAUGGUGACGUUAGCAUUACUGAUUAUCUUAUUUUUUUUAAAGGUGACGUUAGCAUUACUGAUUAUCUUAUUUAUUUAUUUAAAGGUGACGUUAGCAUCACUGACGUCACCGUUGCUCCCGGGCCGAUAGUCUGAAAACAUUGUGCCGUCUGACGUUAAGACUAUAUAUUGACAAGCCCUGUAAUCCAUUUGGAAAUAUAAUGAAAUUGAACCCACACAUGUACUGACAUGCUGAUUAACUUCUUGUCUGGUCACAGUAUUCAUUGAAUGAGGCAUAUCUACACUGAACGAGGCAUAUAUCUACACUGAACGAGGCAUAUAUCUACACUGAACGAGGCAUAUAUCUGCACUGUGAAUGAGGCAUAUAUCUACACUGAACGAGGCAUAUAUCUGCACUGUGAAUGAGGCAUAUAUCUACACUGAACGAGGCAUAUAUCUACACUGUGAAUGAGGCAUAUAUCUACACUGAACGAGGCAUAUAUCUACACUGUGAAUGAGGCAUAUAUCUACACUGAACGAGGCAUAUAUCUGCACUGUGUGUGUGAAAGGAUAUUGAGAUACAUGAUCUAAAUCACACAAGUUCAUCUCGCUGUGCAUCAUAUUUCCAACAGCUUUAUUGCACCUGAGGUCAUUGUGGUAAAUGUGUAUUUUUACUCCUAGUGUUGUUAUUAGGAUAUGUUCCUAAUGGUAACCUGUUCCCCAUAUAGUGUACCCUAUGGGCUCUGGUCUAAAGUAGUGCACUAUAUAGGGAAUAGGGUUCUAUAGAGCUCUGGUCUAAAGUAGUGCACUAUAUAGGGAAUAGGGUUCUAUAGGGCUCUGGUCUAAAUUAGUGCACUAUAUAGGGAAUAGGGUGCCAGUAGGGACUGAUCCUUGGUGCUUAAAGGCCAUUACUGCUAACUGCUAUGUAAUCUCCUCUCUCUCUGCCCACGUUGUAAUGGAGAUGCCCUUUACUGUGGCCAAAUGAACCAUCAACGUAUCAACACACAGUGAUUAGGAGGAAACAGAGGGGCCAGGGAGGAGACAGAAAGAGAGGGGCUAGGGAGGAGACAGAGAGAGAGGGGCCAGAGGAGGAGAGAGAGGAGACAGAGAGAGGGAGAGAGGGGCCAGGGAGGAGACAGCGAGAGGGGCCAGAGAGGAGACAGAGAGAGAGGGGCUAGGGAGGAGACAGAGAGAGAGGGGCCAGAGAGAGAGAGAGAGAGGAGACAGAGACAGAGAGAGGGAGAGAGGGGCCAGGGAGGAGACAGAGAGAGGGGCAAGAGAGAGAGGGAGAGAGGAGACAGAGAGAGAGAGGCCAGAGAGAGGGAGAGAGGGGCCAGGGAGGAGACAGAGAGAGGGGCCAGAGAGAGGGAGAGAGGAGACAGAGAGAGAGAGGCCAGAGAGAGGGAGAGAGGGGCCAGGGAGGAGACAGAGAGAGAGAGGGCCAGAGAAGAGAGAGAGGGGCCAGAGAGAGAGAGAGAGAGAGAAGGGCCAGAGAGAGGGAGAGAAGGGCCAGAGUUAGAGAAGGGCCAGAGAGAGGGAGAGAGGGGCCAGAGAGAGAGGAGAGAGGGGCCAGAGAGAGGGAGAGAGAGGGCCAGAGAGAGAGAGAGAAGGACGAGAGAGGGCGAUAGGAGACAGUGAGGGAGAGGGCAUCUAUCUCAUACUGCAGCCUCUCUAUGGAUGGGAGGGCUUCAGCUCUGGUGCCUCCCUGUCUCUAUCUCUGUUUGUAGUCUCUCUCUCUCUCUCUCCCCCUUAACCCACUAGCUGUCUCUCAAGACGUCUGUCUCUGAGCUUGUAAGUUGGCCAAUGUGUUCAGGAGUUAAGAGUUUUUUUCGGAUGACUUUUUGAGACGGCUCUGUGUUUUUUUUUUGUGUCUGCCUUCAACCUCCACGGUCAAAUUGUCAGCUAGGAAAGGUCUCCUCUCGUCUCAAUGCUGUCUGGGUCCUAGCAUUUCACUGACUGGGUUCCCUAGCAACCUCUUAACACAUACUAGACAUUUUUUGUACCAUCACAUAUUAUUCUGAAUGAAUGUGAACUUGCGUUCUUGCUACGUCUCGAAGCAGGUAAACGGAAUGGUCUCGUCGAGCCAACACUCCUACAGUAUAUGUGGUAAUAGAGCUCGCCAGUCCUAAAACCACAGAAAUUAGUUACGUGUGGUUGGUUCAGCCAUCCCUAC
ensembl:lncRNA